UAGGACUCUCGGCAAUGGAUAUCUUGGCUCUUGCAUCGAUGAAGAACGCAACGAAAUGCGAUACGUGGUGCGAAUUGCAGAAUCCCGUGAACCAUCGAGUUUUUGAACGCAAGUUGCGCCUGAGGCCAACUGGCCGAGGGCACGUCCGCCUGGGCGUCAUGC
rnacentral:rRNA from 1 species